AUGGGGAUACAUUGUGUCUCCCUUCCAGCCAUGACUCUGAGCAUGUCUCCGGCUGCGGUUUGCCAGUGCUUUACUUUGGUGUCCCUGUGCACGUCCAUCGCUGACCCCAACUGGAUCCAGGUCAGGAACAGUACUGACCCCGGAGGAAAACAAAUCAUCUAUGGAGUGGCCUUCACACUGCACGCUGCCCAGAACAUCACUGACACAGGUCCUCUGGGUGGUGUUAACGGCUGGGGGAUGUGGCUGCUCUAUGCCCUGGCGGCUCUGUGCUACACUGCUGUCCUGCUCUCCAGCUCCUCCUUCUUAUUGGACUUCUUGGGGACUGGGAUGUCCCACCCUCGACUGGUGGUGUCACUCCACAUCUCCACUGUUGUUUUCCUAAUGUCCGUGCUGGGAGUGUGUGGGGCUUGCCUGUACGUCAUCAGCGGCAACCUUCAGGAGGGCAAAUUUGGGCUACUGUGGGACUGGGUAGGGGGCUGGACCUGGCCCGGGUCUGGGUCUUGGUCUCCUAGGCCUGGCACCAGAAGCCAAGUAGGGGCAGUGGGGAUGCAGGCUUACCCAGGGGAGAGCUUCUACAUUGCCAUUCUGGGCCUACUUUUUUCCUGCCUGGCUUCCGUGAUCAGCCUGAGUUGCCCGGGGGACCCCACCUCUACCCAAAGUGACUACACAGCCGUGGUGGAAGGGGACGACAGUGACACAGAGCCCCUCACCCCCAGGGAGCAGGGAGUGGGCCAGUCUGACGGAGACAACAGGGGGGGGGGGUGGGCAGGAGAGGUAGUCCCUGAACUGAAUCAGGUGGAGGUGGAUGGAGGUGGAGACUGCUAAAGGGGGUUCUGUUUAUAUGUGUAGCCCAAAAGGUGAACUGUGGUUUGGUUUCUACUAGAAUGCGAACCAGGAUCACACAUGGCCUGUAACAGACUUUAUUAGACAGCAGUGCUGGCCCCUUCCCUGGUCAUGUUUUGGUUCCUUUUAAUGCUUUACUUGACCAAGAUAGUAGAAUCCUGUCAGGAGCCAAAAAAAGAGAUCCGAUACGUUUCCUAAUGUUCUCUUAAUGUUUGUCUGCCUAAAAACUCCCCUCUCGGGUCAGUGUGUAUACAGUUGCACAACAUACAUUUUUAAAAAGAAUAACAUCUUUCCCUUGUGAGAGUUUAGGCCCAGAGUCUCCAACUUCACUUGACCAAGGUCAAUAGUUAUUUUGCUUGCUGUGAUGGUUGAAAAAGUGUGCCACAUGUUUAAGCUAUUUCUGUCUGUGUGACCACGGCAAGUGCAUAUAAUACAAAUGUAUAUGCUCUUUUCAAUAUAGUCACUUGCAUGAGGGGAUAGUAAACUCAUCAAUGGGAAGAAGCGUUGACCCUGUUCCCAUUACUGCAAAAUAACCACUGGGGUGUGUUCAGAAUCAGCAAAUGGUUUCAAACAGUUCAAAACCAGAAAAUAUGUUCAAUUGAGCAUAAGUUGAAAUAUAGCCCAUGUUUGUACAAUCACCUAUUCUCCUCUUCUAGUUAUAAAAAUCCCUACAGGAAGGUUUUUUUAAAUGAUUUUUGCAGGUUGUUUUCUAACCUAUGCAUUAUCUUAACUUCUUAAACCCUUUGCACAGUCUUUCACAGUGACACUUGAAGUUUCCCAAAUGGAGGACAGAAAUCCAAUAGAUUAUUCAUAGAUUUACCUGAAGUGUACUGAAACUAGAGUUUCCUUUGAGAAAUUAAAUUUAAAAAGCCUGUUUGGCUAUUAUUGCCACUGUAGCUUUUAUCACUUUUAAUUGAUGCACUAUUUAUUAAUGCAUGGAUGUUUACUACUAUAGGAAGAAUUGAGGGGGAUAUGACAGCUUGCCUUUCCACAACAGGUAGUGUAAAUACAUGGCUCUUGCCUUUAUAUGACUCGAUAUACUAAUGAUAUUAAAAUAUGAUGUAUUGAAUAUUUUAUGUAUUCGAAUGUUUCUGGUUUCAUAAAAUGUUGACACUGCUAUUGGUUACUAGAUAAUACAUAUCACUGUGAAAAUAUAUUCCAGUUUGGCAUCUUUAGAUGGUUACAUUACAGCACAAACCGCCUCUAAAGCAGGGUUAUCCUGCUUAAAGGCAACCAAUAAAACAAGCUCCUUGAUGGUGUUUGGUUGCAGAUGAUGGUAGGACCAUGGAUAUUGGCUUAAUUAAUUAAGAUAGCUAAGAGCCUGCCUAGAAUCAGGUUUUCCUUACCCACUUGUUUCCUGGACACAGAUUUAAGCCUAAUCCUGGAUUGGGAAACAUGUUCAAUCGAGAUUCUCUUUUUAUUUCAAGACCAGGCUUAAUCUGUGUCCGGGAAACUAUCCCUCAAUCUCUUCCUCAGGUACAUAGGAAGACAUUCCUUCUCUUAUUCCAGGGUCACAGUCCCAUCUCUAUGAAUCAGACUGUUCAUUGUGGUUGUUUGUGAUGUUAUUUAUUCAUUAAACUGUUUUUGUGUUUAAGUGAAAUGUGUGAAUGCAUGUUCUUCCUGUUCCAGAACAGAAGUGUCCAGUUCCUCUUAUUCCCACUCAUCUGUUUGUGUUGAUAUCUCAUCUCUGACACUACAGGUUUAUUUCCAACCAACAUCAUCAGGACAUGAUCUUAAUGCAAAACCAUGAGAUCAUCUAACACAUUAUUUUGCUUGCUGGUAUGCAAAUGAUCAGGUAUUAAUUUAGAAACAACAUGGUUAAAUUAUAAUUACCCAGUAAUAAUCUACAGAAUGAAUUACUUUUUUGGGGGGGGGGGGUUCAUUUAAACAAGCCCCUGCAAUAGGCAUUUGGUAAUAGGUUAUGAAAUUGUGUGAAUUAUAUCAAAGUACCUAAAGCCAUUCUAACACUGGUGGUAACAGUACCAUAAAAUCAAUUGCUACCCAAAUUCACCUUGUGGGAACAUCUUGUCAUCAAAUGAGACAUUGAGUAGGGGUCUAGGGAUUUUGUCUUGAACCAAAUUGAAAUCUGAACCCUGUCUGUUGUAUAGAGUAAGUAUCCUGGGGUAUAUGUGACUAUAUAGGGACUGAUGACCUCUCCUCUUCAUGGACAGUCAGAUGGCUCUAAAUAUACCUCAACACGGUCCCACAUGUCUUUCUGAAUGCAUAGGCAGAUUUUAGGGUUAGCCAAACAGAAGGACUCUCUGUGAACAUGAUGUCCCCCCUACAAGCAAUGACUUCAGCAGACAAACCACUAAUUGGUAAAUAGAAAUAAUCAGUUUCUUUCCCCUCCCGCCAUCUUUCCCUUUACUCUGUCACAUGAGUCCAGCCCCUUCUCUCAUUGGACAGAAACCAUUGCCAUAGUAACCUUGACAAAUUGUUGAUGUCGCCAGUGAAUUUGUGAAUGGAGAGGACAAAUGCAGGGUAUUUGAGCAUAUUUUAGUGGUGGUGUUGCGGUCAUGGGUGAGUGAGUGGGAUCCUGUGUGUACACCACACACGCAUGUAGGUACAUGUGUGGACGUGCUAGCACUGGUUUACUGUACAAAAAUAUACGGGAAGUUACAGAUUUUCAUGUAGAUAGUUUGAAAUAUGGUGCAUUUACAAAACAUGUAUUUAUUUUAUAACCCUAAUAUUCACACUUUUUGCGAGGUAAGUCGGACAUAUUUUCAACAAAGCGCGUGUGUGUUUGCGCACGCGUGUACUUUAUGGAGGCGGAUGGAGGGACGAGAGGAUGCUAUUGGUAGCUCAGAGGGGCUGGGACGCGGUGAGAAUUACUACAGUUCCUCUCCACAUGGAGGAGUGGAGCGAGGGAUGAAGAGAGAAUCGACAGGGACGAGCCUACUAGUGGAGCUGUGAGAUUGCUCUUUGUAUACCUUCUUCCACUCCCUCAGUUUUCCUCUGACUCUCUUAUUCUCCCCCUAUGUGACAUUCAACUAUGGCGGCUCAGAAAUUAAAAAAGAGGAGGAGAGGAGAGAAAGAACAGUGGCGUUAUUAAAGAUGGAUGUCAGAUCCUGUUUCACUUGCGUACUUGAAUGCGGUCCCUGUGUAGCCUAUUUGGUCCUGUGUUAUGUUUAUGUGUAGUAGGUCAGUACAGCAUGAAAUGUGAAUACAUUUGUGUUUUAAAUGACCAGAGUGGGUGUGGAUCACCAUGUACGUGGCGACAACGGUCAUAUUUUCUUUAGUGCGUGUGUAUGUACCAUGUAAGUAUUAAUUGUUUUCUCUGACAACCUGGAUCAGAGAGUGUGUAUGUGUGUUUUUAGUCUCUUGACGGUCGUGUGUAUCCCUCUACGACUGGCAAAGCGAGUUGCGUGCGUGCGUGUGAAUUGUGUUGGAGUGGCUUGUGUGCAGUUGUGUGUUAGUGUGAAGGACCAUGGCUGUUUUCUAAUCGUGUUGACGGGGUUAUGUGUAGAAGAGUGGUUGUAGUAGGUAUGAUUGUGCACACAGUGGAGUGUUUAUGAAGAAGGCAUUAUGAGUGGGAAUCGAGUCACACAUUUCUUGACAUUUGAUCCUGAUUUACUCCAAAUAAAACCUGCAACUCUCAUAUGCAAUGAAAGGAUAUAUGUGUUUUGCAUGGAAAGUAUGUUGUAAUGUUUUUGUAUCCCUAUAAAGGCCUAUGUGUGUGAGCUCCGUGAUUUUUAACGCCAUACACGUAUUUGAUUUUGGUAAACCCAGUCAGUUUUAGAAAAUAGGACAGAGGUCUAUGUCAUACUUAUCCAUCUACUCAUCUCUCUCUAUCCUUAUUUUUGUCGUUGGAGUGGCCAUUUUAGGCAGAUGUCUUCUUGUCAACUUUAUCUCUUAUGGGAGAUGGUGUCUGUUGGCUUUAUGACCAGCACCAAAUAUUCAAUUCCAGACAAGUUAACAGUUCGGUUCAGCUCCUGCCACAGCUUCAACAUUGUCUGUUUCUCUUUCACUCUGCCCUCUUUCCCUGCUUUAUGCUCUUUCUCGUCUCUUUCUGCAAUCUGUCUCUGUUUCUCUCUCUCUCUCGAUUAGUCCUGAGUGAGGCUGAUUUCAGGCUCCAGUUCCUCACCUACACAGCCAGCUCUGCUUUCUCUGCCCCUGGGAACUGGGCAUCAUGUUUGCCCAAGGCCUCGCUUGCCCUUGGUACUAAGAACUGAAGUCCGAGCUACACACACACUCAACCUGACCGGUCAUGGGUAAUUCAGUUGUGCAGUACUCAAAGGAAUAAAUACAGAAUGUAAUGUGCAGAUGCAUACAUAGUGAUAGAAACGGAGAGACAUGUUGUAGGAUUGGCAGGGGUCCCCAUUUUCCGGCAGUUGCAUACGUAUUCUGUGUGGAACAGAAUCAAUACAUUGUGUGCUAUUCUAAGG
ensembl:lncRNA